rnacentral:rRNA from 1 species
GGGCCCCGCACAAGCAGCGGAGCGUGUGGUUUAAUUCGAUGCUACACGAAGAACCUUACCAGGGUUUGACAUACAAGUAUAGGGAAAGGAAACUGGACCGACCCUUCGGGGAGCUUGUACAGGUGCUGCAUGGCUGUCGUCAGCUCGUGUCGUGAGAUGUUGGGUUAAGUCCCGCAACGAGCGCAACCCUCGCCUUUAGUUGCCAGCAUUCAGUCGGGCACUCUAGAGGGACUGCCGGUGUCAAACCGGAGGAAGGUGGGGAUGACGUCAAGUCAUCAUGGCCCCUAUGUCCAGGGCUACACACGUGCUACAAUGGGCGAUACAGAGUGACGCGAAGCCGCGAGGUGGAGCAAAUCGCAGAAAAUCGCUCUCAGUUCGGAUUGGAGUCUGAAACCCGACUCCAUGAAGGUGGAAUCGCUAGUAAUCGCGCAUCAGCAUGGCGCGGUGAAUACGUUCCCGGGCCUU